AUGGUAGACAGAACCUACUACACCGAUGGCUCUGAGUUAACUUAUAAGGAGAAAACUCAUCUGGUCGGAUUUUGUACUGAUAUUGAGAAUUACAAUAUCUACAAUCAAACUCCUCAUCAUUAUGGUCCUCCAUACGUGCCACUAGUGCAUGUGUUGAACUACGGUAACUACUAUGGAGAUACCCUGAUAAUCCCGGAGGAUUGUAUGCCUCAUUUGAUGUAUCAGAAUGGUAGGCUUGAUGUUUUGAAUAUACAACCAGGUCAUCCUACGAAUCUCAACUGUCCAUACCGGAUUUCUAAAAGAAGUGGAGACAUGCAAAUCAAAGAAUGA
rnacentral:rRNA from 1 species